rnacentral:rRNA from 1 species
GACGAACGCUGGCGGCGUGCUUAACACAUGCAAGUCGAACGGAAAGGCCCUGCUUUUGUGGGGUGCUCGAGUGGCGAACGGGUGAGUAACACGUGAGUAACCUGCCCUUGACUUUGGGAUAACUUCAGGAAACUGGGGCUAAUACCGGAUAGGAGCUCCUGCUGCAUGGUGGGGGUUGGAAAGUUUCGGCGGUUGGGGAUGGACUCGCGGCUUAUCAGCUUGUUGGUGGGGUAGUGGCUUACCAAGGCUUUGACGGGUAGCCGGCCUGAGAGGGUGACCGGCCACCUUGGGCCUGAGAUAGGGCCCAGACUCCUACGGGAGGCAGCGGUGGGGAAUAUUGCACAAUGGGCGGAAGCCUGAUGCAGCAACGCCGCGUGCGGGAUGACGGCCUUCGGGUUGUAAACCGCUUUCGCCUGUGACGAAGCGUGAGUGACGGUAAUGGGUAAAGAAGCACCGGCUAACUACGUG